GAUGAACGCUGGCGGCGUGCUUAACACAUGCAAGUCGAACGGAAAGGCCCUGCUUUUGUGGGGUGCUCGAGUGGCGAACGGGUGAGUAACACGUGAGUAACCUGCCCUUGACUUUGGGAUAACUUCAGGAAACUGGGGCUAAUACCGGAUAGGAGCUCCUGCUGCAUGGUGGGGGUUGGAAAGUUUCGGCGGUUGGGGAUGGACUCGCGGCUUAUCAGCUUGUUGGUGGGGUAGUGGCUUACCAAGGCUUUGACGGGUAGCCGGCCUGAGAGGGUGACCGGCCACAUUGGGACUGAGAUACGGCCCAGACUCCUACGGGAGGCAGCAGUGGGGAAUAUUGCACAAUGGGCGGAAGCCUGAUGCAGCAACGCCGCGUGCGGGAUGACGGCCCUCGGGUUGUAAACCGCUUUCGCCUGUGACGAAGCGUGAGUGACGGUAAUGGGUAAAGAAGCACCGGCUAACUACGUG
rnacentral:rRNA from 1 species